rnacentral:lncRNA from 1 species
GGCUCGGAUGAGACGUUGACCGUUGCCUCGGAGACCCAAGCCACGAAAGUUCAAUUCCCGACUUCUAACACAAGUUUCUCACAAUCCACUGGUAUCUAAGUGUCUACCUACGAUUAGCACUCUUGUUCGGUCGUGAAUCUGGUUUGGACGUGUUGCUUCCGACGUUGAAGUUACGAUACGUAGUGCUGCCCAAAGAUGUUGGCAGGUGGAUUCUGUUCACCACUGUCGUACAACCGUUAAUCCGUUUUUGACCUGCAGAGGUACUUCGUUUUGCACACCAGUGAAGAAGGAUGCCAUCACUACACUGUACUAGCCCUGCUACCAUUAAACUUGUAGCGACCUCUUUCGGUCGUUUCCUGUUCCCACAAAACCUUGCUCUACAUGUCGAUUGCACCGUGUUUUCUGCCGUUGUGCGGGCGCCGUUUUACCUUGGUCAAGUAACAUCAACUUGCCCGUUACUCAGAAUUGCCCACCUUCAAAGCGGUGGACACGAUUACUUGUUUUGUUCUAGCCGUCGCCUGACGCAUCACCAGUGAUGGCUUCAGAUACACCUCCACAUAUUAUACUGGUAACACCUCACUCAAUCGAGCGUAACGUGGAAGAACUGAAAAAAAAGAGACCUCCCUUGUGACAGCUCUCUAUUGCUGAGCCGGACACAACUAGGACCCCUGGAACAUCAGUCCUGUGAACGUCUUUCGUGAGUGUGGUAGUACGCAAACCUAUUUCGUACACCUCGUAUCAAUUUUUCGCAACUCGUUUUGCCUAUUCGGUACAGUCGGGAACCCGUGGAAGGAGAAGAAUACCCGGUUACUUCUCAUUUCGAGGAAGUUUCAAUUUAUCCGAAAAUGUCUUUUUCAAAGCCCCACACGCGCCAAACCUACAAACAACGGAAUGCCCGAUGGUUGCGCCGCCGUACACUAAACCUAUGGUGGACUGUUGGGAUACAAAAAUGCUGCAGACGAUGGCGGGUGGCCCGCCCGCUUUCUGUGUUACCUACGGACACAGACCGAUAGACAAUGAUGUCGAGACCGCAGUACUACCUGCUGCACUUCCUGUGGGACGUCGAGAGACGCCCAUCUCUUUCAGAUUUUCUUGACGUCUCUUGGUAACUUCAACUUUUCGUCGCUGCAGCGCGGCUUUACUUAAGGCCGUGUCUGUGUCCUGGAUCUUCGAGCAACUAUCAAGUACAAU